rnacentral:rRNA from 1 species
GUGAGGAAUUUUCCGCAAUGGGCGAAAGCCUGACGGAGCAAUGCCGCGUGAAGGAUGAAGGCCUAUGGGUUGUAAACUUCUUUUCUCAGAAAAGAAUUAUGACGGUAUCUGAGGAAUAAGCAUCGGCUAACUCUGUGCCAGCAGCCGCGGUAAGACAGAGGAUGCAAGCGUUAUCCGGAAUGAUUGGGCGUAAAGCGUCUGUAGGUUGUUUAAAAAGUAUUCUGUCAAAGAUUAGGGCUUAACCCUAGAUAGGCAGAAUAAACUUUUAAGCUAGAGUUUGGUAGAGGCAGAGGGAAUUCCCGGUGGAGCGGUGAAAUGCGUAGAUAUCGGGAGGAACACCAAAGGCGAAGGCACUCUGCUGGGCCAAUGCUAACACUGAGAGACGAAAGCGAGGGGAGCAAAUGGGAUUAGAUACCCCUGUAGUCC